AAAAAUGAUAAUCAACAAUGUGACAUCGCUUUUCCAUUCAUGUUCACUGAAAGGUAGAUUUUAGAAACAUGAAUAGUAAAGCGAUGUCACAUUGUUCAUUAUCAUUUUU
rnacentral:pre_miRNA from 1 species